rnacentral:rRNA from 1 species
GACGAACGCUGGCGGCGUGCCUAAUACAUGCAAGUUGAGCGAUGAAGAUUGGUGCUUGCACCAAUUUGAAGAGCAGCGAACGGGUGAGUAACGCGUGGGGAAUCUGCCUUUGAGCGGGGGACAACAUUUGGAAACGAAUGCUAAUACCGCAUAACAACUUUAAACAUAAGUUUUAAGUUUGAAAGAUGCAAUUGCAUCACUCAAAGAUGAUCCCGCGUUGUAUUAGCUAGUUGGUGAGGUAAAGGCUCACCAAGGCGAUGAUACAUAGCCGACCUGAGAGGGUGAUCGGCCACAUUGGGACUGAGACACGGCCCAAACUCCUACGGGAGGCAGCAGUAGGGAAUCUUCGGCAAUUGACGAAAGUCUGACCGAGCAACGCCGCGUGAGUGAAGAAGGUUUUCGGAUCGUAAAACUCUGUUGGUAGAGAAGAACGUUGGUGAGAGUGGAAAGCUCAUCAAGUGACGGUAACUACCCAGAAAGGGACGGCUAACUACGUG